rnacentral:lncRNA from 10 species
CAGUGACUGUGUCUCUGGUUCCUACCAGGUCCAAAUGCCAACAGGAGGGGCGAAUGUGUCAUUUCUGGAGUGAACUAGCUGAAGGCAUGGCAUAACAUGAAGGGCACCUUUCCAUCUUCUUCCCCGGCGUCUCACUGGAGAUAUUUCAUCCUAAAACCUCAUGAAAUCUUGAUCCAAAGCUCAAAACAUGUGUUGUGUCAGAUGCAAAGUCACGAGAAAGUCAACAGCUCUAUCUGGUGUCCUGCUGAGUGGCCGGGCAGCUUUCUUGGCGUGAACUCUGAGCAUUCGUUGUCUCCUGCUUUGGUCUUGGUUGACUUGUCGGUGUUUUCAUGGUUUGUUCUUUCCCAGGGAGGUGGGUUAUUAUCCCCAGGCCCAUUCCACCUCUCCAGCGCCCAUCCUUUCUGAUCUCAUGCAUGCUUGCCUCAGAAGGGUUCACUCCUCCAGUCAUUUGUUUAUUUAACAGCUUUUGAGCACCUAUUAUGCAUCAAAUGCACUUCUGCACAUUAAGGAAUCUGACAUCAAGAAACGCAGGCUCCCUGUCCUCAUGGGGGGUUGUGUUUUAACAGGUAGAGUCGAACUAUGAACCGGUAAGC